rnacentral:rRNA from 1 species
AUGGCGGCCAGCUUGAGAUGCUGUGCGCCUGUCCACUUUAUGUCACUGCAAACAAAAAGUACGGCACAGAUGGCGCAUUACGCAUCACCCAACGAAGUCUGUAUGCUAUUGCUAUUUUGUUGUCACUUGCAUGCAAGGAAUUUUGGUGUGACCCACGGGCAACAGAUGAGGAUGAUUGAGAGCAGCAUGGAAGUAUACCAUACGGCUUUAUUUGGAACGCAUGAAUUUGCUGGGAAUUAUGCAGUAAUUUCACAUGAAGUGGAUGCAACAACUGCAUUCCCAUUAGAAUCGGGGGAAAUUUCCGUGCUCUGGAUGAGCGCUGCAUCUAGAGCAUUUAGGAAAUUCAGUCGCCCAUGA